rnacentral:rRNA from 1 species
GCAUAACGCGAAGAACCUUACCUACCCUUGACAUCCAGAGAACUUAGCAGAGAUGCUUUGGUGCCUUCGGGAACUCUGAGACAGGUGCUGCAUGGCUGUCGUCAGCUCGUGUUGUGAAAUGUUGGGUUAAGUCCCGCAACGAGCGCAACCCUUAUCCUUUGUUGCCAGCGGUUAGGCCGGGAACUCAAAGGAGACUGCCAGUGAUAAACUGGAGGAAGGUGGGGAUGACGUCAAGUCAUCAUGGCCCUUACGAGUAGGGCUACACACGUGCUACAAUGGCGCAUACAAAGAGAAGCGACCUCGCGAGAGCAAGCGGACCUCAUAAAGUGCGUCGUAGUCCGGAUUGGAGUCUGCAACUCGACUCCAUGAAGUCGGAAUCGCUAGUAAUCGUAGAUCAGAAUGCUACGGUGAAUACGUUCCCGGGUCUUGUACACACCG